AUUGAACGCUGGCGGCAGGCCUAACACAUGCAAGUCGAACGCGUGGCGGACGGGUGAGUAAUGUCUGGGAACCUGCCCUAUGGCUGGGGCUAACUCCUGGAAACGGUAGCUAAUCCCGCAUACCAUUCGAUGUUCCCAGAUGGGAUUAGCUAGUAGGUGGGGUAACGGCUCACCUAGGGAACGAUCCCUAGCUGGUCUGAGAGGAUGACCGGCCACACUGGAACUGAGACACGGUCCAGACUCCUACGGGAGGCAGAAGUGGGGAAUAUUGCACAAUGGGCGCAAGCCUGAUGCAGCCAUGCCGCGUGUAUGAAGAAGGCCUUCGGGUUGUAAAGUACUUUCAGCGAGGAGGCGUUACUCGCAGAAGAAGCACCGGCUAACUCCGUGCCAGCAGCCGCGGUAAUUC
rnacentral:rRNA from 1 species